rnacentral:rRNA from 1 species
CCUACGGGUGGCUGCAGUGGGGAAUUUUGGACAAUGGGCGAAAGCCUGAUCCAGCAAUGCCGCGUGUGUGAAGAAGGCCUUCGGGUUGUAAAGCACUUUUGUCCGGAAAGAAAUCCGUCUGGCUAAUACCCGGACGGGAUGACGGUACCGGAAGAAUAAGCACCGGCUAACUACGUGCCAGCAGCCGCGGUAAUACGUAGGGUGCGAGCGUUACUCGGAAUUACUGGGGGCGAAGUGGGAAGACGCGGCUGAAAUCCCCGGGCUCAACCUGGGAACUGCAUUUGUGACUGCAAGGCUAGAGUGCGUCAGAGGGAGGUGGAAUUCCGCGUGUAGCAGUGAAAUGCGUAGAGAUGCGGAGGAACACCGAUGGCGAAGGCAGCCUCCUGGGAUGACACUGACGCUCAUGCACGAAAGCGUGGGGAGCAAACAGGAUUAGAUACCCGUGUAGUC